UUUUGCCUUAAUGGUAAAUAUGGGAUGCAGUGUAUGGAACAUCAAUAAUCUAGUAUGAAAAAUUAACGAUUUAAGUCCUUCUUAAAUGAGGCCAUUUACCCAUAGAGGGUGCCAGGCCCGUAUAACGUUAAUGAUUAUUAGAAGGUGUUUCCAAAGAGUCGUGUUGCUUGAUAGUGCAGCACUAAGUGGGUGGUAAACUCCAUCUAAAACUAAAUAUAACCAUGAGACCGAUAGUAAACAAGUACCGUGAGGGAAAGUUGAAAAGAACUCUGAAUAGAGAGUUAAAUAGUACGUGAAACUGCUUAGAGGUUAAACCCGAUGAACCUGAAUAUCCAUUAUGGAAAAUUCAAUACUAAUAAAGUAGUGUGCAAUUUUUCCAUAUAAGGACAUUGUAAUCUGUUAAUGUAAUAAUUAUUUAUCAAAAGAUUCUUUACUUAAGUUUAUUCAAAUUCAACAUAAAAUAAAUGUAUUGAAUUGGAUAAAUCAUUGACAGAUAUAAUUAUAUAAUGUGCUCAAAUUCUAUGGAAUUUUACAAUGUUGUCUGCACUAUUAUGAUUAACAAUGCGAUAGAUUCAGGAUACCUUCGGGACCCGUCUUGAAACACGGACCAAGGAGUCUAACAUAUGUGCAAGUCAUUGGGUAUUUAUAAUAAAACCCAAUGGCAUAAUUAACUUAACUUUAGGGAUUAGUUUAUAUUUAUUCAAUCCCGGGGCGUUCUAUAUAGUUAUGUAUAAUGGUAUUUAUAUUAUUUAUACCUCUAACUAGAGCGUACCUUGAGCAUAUAUGCUGUGACCCGAAAGAUGGUGAACUAUACUUGAUCAGGUUGAAGUCAGGGGAAACCCUGAUGGAAGACCGAAACAGUUCUGACGUGCAAAUCGAUUGUCAGAAUUGAGUAUAGGGGCGAAAGAC
rnacentral:rRNA from 1 species